rnacentral:tRNA from 1 species
AUAAGUGUUAAGUUGCUGAUUCAAAAGAAAUACUCGUCAGACUUAAAAUCUGCCGCCGCAAGGCGUGCCGGUUCGAUUCCGGCUCGGAGCACCA